GAUGAAGAACGUAGCGAAAUGCGAUAAGUAAUGUGAAUUGCAGAAUUCAGUGAAUCAUCGAAUCUUUGAACGCUCAUUGCGCCCGCCAGUAUUCUGGCGGGCAUGCCUGUUCGAGCGUCAUUACAACCCUCAGGCCCCCGGGCCUGGCGUUGGGGAUCGGCGGAAGCCCCCUGCGGGCACAACGCCGUCCCCCAAAUACAGUGGCGGUCCCGCCGCAGCUUCCAUUGCGUAGUAGCUAACACCUAGCGACUGGAGAGCGGCGCGGCCACGCCGUAAAACACCCAACUUCUGAAUGUUGACCUCGAAUCAGGUAGGAAUACCCGCUGAACUUAAGCAUAUCAAUAAGCGGAGGA
rnacentral:misc_RNA from 1 species